rnacentral:rRNA from 1 species
GACGAACCGUGCGAGCGUUGUUCGGAAUCACUGGGCUUAAAGGGCGCGUAGGCGGGUUCGCAAGUCUGUGGUGAAAGCCUCCAGCUUAACUGGAGAAGUGCCAUGGAUACUGCGAGCCUCGAGGAGGGUAGGGGCAUCUGGAACAGUAGGUGGAGCGGUGAAAUGCGUUGAUAUCUACUGGAACUCCGGUGGCGAAGGCGAGGUGCUGGACCCUUUCUGACGCUGAGGCGCGAAAGCCAGGGGAGCGAACGGG